rnacentral:lncRNA from 1 species
GGAUUGGGAUAUUCCGACUCCUUAAGGGCCUGGCGCACAUAAGGUGUGACCUUUUCAUUCCCGUUGUUAUGGAGGGCCACAUCUGCCAGAGCCUGGAGUCUGCGAAGGCCGGGACCCGGUUCCCCGGCCCACAGUGGGGGUGUGCAAACCCGAGAGAACUGGAUUGCGUACCCACUGCAGAGUGCUGAAGACGGGGUAGCCACGAGGUUGCAAAUUCGUGAAGAAUCAGCAUCAUGUUUGGCAGCUGAGUAUUGGAGCCAGGAGCCUGCCAUGAGGUUUUGAGAACAGAGUGCUGUUUUAGAGCUGGCAGCAGCAUCUCAGCCCAAGAGAAGGUUAUAUUCCCAGAGGAUGUCAGUCCCAAGGACCAGUAGCUGCCAUCAGUUUGGAUUCUGAAAACUAACUGGCAUCAACACUGGGUGUAGAAACAUGCUUGCCUUAUGUAUCAGAGGACAUGCUCAGCAGAUCCAAGAGAUAUAUUUGGCAACUUUUUCUAGAAAAGGCACAUUGGGUAUCAUUCAUUACAUUCUUGAGUUUUUUUGGGUUUUUUUUUUUUUUUUUGAGACAGUCUUGCUGUAUUGCCCAGGCUGGAGUGUGGUGGCACAAUCACAGCUCAUUGCAUCCUCAAUCACCCAGGCCUAAGCAAUCCUCCCACCUUGUAGCUGGGACUACAGCUCACAGCACACCUGGCUAAAAUUUUUUUUUUGUUGAGACGGAUUCUCUAUGUUGCCCAGGCUGGUCUCAGGCUCCUGGGCUCAGAUGGUCCUCCUGCCUCAGCUUCCAAAGGCACAGGCCAAGUUGUAGCUUUGUCCCUUGCCAUCAUGCCCAACAAGAGGUUCUAUACCUUUUAAUGAAUUGACUUUCAUAAAUUGGUUAUGUUGGUGGGCAAAGUUCUUUAAGCUGGAAAUUGUAAAUUCCUCCUGAAAUGUUUUUUCAUGCAGUUACCAUGAACUAAUACUACAAUAAAGGAUGGUCUUGGGUGUCAAUUCUUGAA